ensembl:lncRNA
UCUUUGGAUUUUUCUCUUUCAUUUCUCAAAUCCAAUCAAUUACCACGCCUGGCAAUUCAAUUUGCUCAACAUCACUUGAUGUGUUCCACCUCUCCACCUUCACAGAUGGUGUUCUCUUCCUCUUUCACCUGCUGCUGCUGCUGCCGCUAAGUCGCUUCAGUCGUGUCCGACUCUGUGCAACCCCAUAGACAGCAGCCCACCAGGCUCCCCCAUCCCUGGGAUUCUCCAGGCAAGAACACUGGAGUGGGUUGCCAUUUCCUUCUCCAAUGCAUGAAAGUGAAAAGUGAAGUUGCUCAGUCGUGUCCGACUCUUCGCGACUCCAUGGACUGCAGCCUACCAGGCUCCUCUGUCCAUGGGAUUUUCCAGAUGCUGGACUGUAAAGGUGGACAGGAGGACCCCUGAAAGGAGAAAAUCAUGAUGAAGGAGGAAGGAGACUGGAACUGUGGACCCAGCUCAGCAAUACAACCUGAAGAGAAAGAUUCUUCAUAUAAGUGAUAUACUGCUACUGCUGCUAAGUCACUUCAGUCGUGUCCGACUCUGUGUGACCCCAUAGACGGCAGCCCACCAGGCCCCGCUGUCCCUGGGAUUCUCCAGAUCACUCAUUCUGGGACAAGCCAGCUGCCCUAUCUUGAGCAUCCAGAUGGAAAGGCUCACAUGGUGAAAAAUGGAGGCUUCACGCUAACAGCCAUCUAAGUGAACUUGAAAGUAUUAUAUUCUCCAGUUCCGAUCAAGUCUUCAGAUGAUGGCACCCCAGAAAGUUGCUUCAUUGCAAUCGAGAACCUGAGCAGAAAAGUACCGAGUUAAACCACUCCCAGUGGGUUCAAUCCCUGGGUCAGGAAGAUCCCCUGGAGAUGUGUAUGGCAACCCACUCCAGUAUUCUUGCCUGGAGAAUCCCAUGGACAGAGGAGCCUGGAGG